GGCAAUCACAGUGUUUCAGAUAUGUUAAUUCGAGCCCUCUGUCCCAUUUCUGGAAGCAACGAUAGCCGCAAACGACAUGAAAUGCGCCUCAUCUCCAAACUUGGCACUGUUCACCCUUCUGGCAUUAAUGAACGCUUUUCUUAUGUUUAUGCCAUCAUAGCCAAUCCAGAAGACAUUUCUUCUGUUUUGUCUAUGAUGCCAUCUGUCUUUG